rnacentral:rRNA from 1 species
CAAUAGCGUAUAUUGAAGUUGUUGCAGUUAAAAAGCUCGUCGUUGGAUUUCUGUUGAGGUCGAACAGUGCCGCCCUAUGGGUGCGCAACUGGCUCGGCUUCGGCAUCUUCUUGGAGAGCGCAUCUGCACUUAACUGUGUGGAUCGUACUUCAAGUCAGUUACUUUGAGGAAUUGUGAGUGUUUCAAGCAGGCUUACGCCGUUGAAUCCGUUAGCAUGGAAUAAUAGGAUAGGACCUCGGUUCUAUUUUGUUGGUUUUGAGAGCUGGGGCAGCGAUUGAUAGGGACGGAUGGGGGCGUCCGAACUUUACUGUCAGAGGUGAAAUUCUUAGAUCGGUCAAAGGCGAACUACUGCGAACGCAUUCGCCAAGAAUGUUUUCUUUAA